rnacentral:rRNA from 1 species
GUGACAGCCGCCGCGGUAAUACGUAGGUGGCGAGCGUUGUCCGGAAUUACUGGGCGUAAAGGGUGCGUAGGUGGUAGUUAAAGUCAGAUGUGAAAACCCCGGGCUUAACCUGGGAACUGCAUUUGAAACUUAACUACUAGAGUGCAGGAGAGGAAAGCGGAAUUCCUAGUGUAGCGGUGAAAUGCGUAGAUAUUAGGAAGAACACCAGUGGCGAAGGCGGCUUUCUGGACUGUAACUGACACUGAGGCACGAAAGCGUGGGGAGCAAACAGGAUUAGAUACCCGUGUAGUCC